rnacentral:lncRNA from 1 species
CUCGCUGUGAUUUUUAACAGGCGGAACCACCGAAGGCUGAGGUAAGCCUUCCUCUUCUUCCUCUCUUCCCUCUCCUUCUUCUCAUGCCUCUGUGCAUGACUGCCGAUGACGGGUGUCACCGAAUUUCAUCGAAGAAGGGACCCCUAUUCGAUCUCUUCUUCCUCUUUGAUUUUUCGACAUCGGCGAUCACUGCCAACCGC